CAUAGUUCAUGACCAGCUAAGCUAAUUAAUUGUAUUACUGCCAUGGACACGAGCCGCAGUAUCUAGAAUGAGCGCUGAUCGAGAUUUGUAAUCAUUGUAACUGAAUAGCUAUUACCCACGCAUGAGACAAAAAAGAUGCUUACCAGUCAUCGCUUGUUCCCUGGCUACCUCAAAGCGUUAUUUGUUGAAUAUUGUGAAAGUUUUACUUUCCCGAAGAGGUCAGUGGAGUCAUGCAAGCUAAAACCUAACAGACACUUCACCUUCCUGGCGUUGAGUUUUGUCUUUACGGCACUCCUCUUCUAUCCUUCCUAAAUUUCCUAUCCUUCUAUGGUUUUUUCUAUUUGUAUUAUAAAUU